UGGGGAAUUUUGGACAAUGGGCGAAAGCCUGAUCCAGCAAUGCCGCGUGUGUGAAGAAGGCCUUCGGGUUGUAAAGCACUUUUGUCCGGAAAGAAAUCCUUGGCUCUAAUACAGUCGGGGGAUGACGGUACCGGAAGAAUAAGCACCGGCUAACUACGCGCCAGCAGCCGCGGUAAUACGUAGGGUGCAAGCGUUAAUCGGAAUUACUGGGCGUAAAGCGUGCGCAGGCGGUUUGCUAAGACCGAUGUGAAACCCCCGGGCUCAACCUGGGAACUGCAUUGGUGACUGGCAGGCUAGAGUAUGGCAGAGGGGGGUAGAAUUCCACGUGUAGCAGUGAAAUGCGUAGAGAUGUGGAGGAAUACCGAUGGCGAAGGCAGCCCCCUGGGCCAAAUACUGACGCUCAUGCACGAAAGCGUGGGGAGCAAACAGGAUUAGAUACCCUGGUAGUCCACGCCCUAAACGAUGUCAACUAGUUGUUGGGGAUUCAUUUCCUUAGUAACGUAGCUAACGCGUGAAGUUGACCGCCUGGGGAGUACGGUCGCAAGAUUAAAACUCAAAGGAAUUGACGGGGUCAUAGCUGUUUCCU
rnacentral:rRNA from 1 species